rnacentral:rRNA from 1 species
CUGGCGGCGUGCUUAACGCAUGCAAGUCGAACGAAGGCUUCGGCCUUAGUGCGGACGGUGAGUAACGCGUGGAAUCUACCUAGCGGCGGGAAUACAGUUGGAAACGACUGCUAAUACCGCAUACGCCUCGGGGAAAGGCUUCGGCCACCGCUUGAGGAUCCCACGUCCGAUUAGCUAGUUGGUAGGGUAAUGGCCUACCAAGGCGACGAUCGGUAGCUGGUCUGAGAGGAUGAUCAGCCACACUGGGACUGAGACACGGCCCAGGCUCC